AUUGAGCUGAGUCAAUCGAUUCAAUGGAGUGGAUUCGUGGUCCGAUAAUUGGCCGUGGCUCUUCGGCCACUGUUUCACUCGCUACCGAUUCUUCUGGAGUAGUCUUUGCUGUUAAAUCUACUGAACAAUCUUGUUUGCAAAGAGAGUAUUCUCUUGUUUCUCAGUUGAAUUCCCCGUUUUUAGUUAAGUGCUUCGGUUUUGAACAAAAUGAACAAGUUUAUAAUAUGUUUAUGGAGUAUGUACAAGGUGG
rnacentral:misc_RNA from 1 species